UCUUGGAACUUAUUUAUGACAGGUACAUAUCUCAUACAUUUGUUAAGUGUCAGUUCUUUAUACAUUCAUUUAAAGUACAGUAUACAGUUUGAAAUUUUAUAUUUAAUCGUUCUGAAGUUUAAAUUUAAAAUUCCAUAUUUAUGAACCUCAAUCUAAGUAUCAAAUACAUGUCCAUAUUCCAAGGUUACUUUACAUGUAUCAAAACUCAUAAGCUCAUGGAAAAUAGUAUCUACUAUCCAAAAAAAACCCUUCACAUUGCUGUGUAUUAAGGUACAUUCAAUACCGGACAUCCAAUUAUGCUUUGAUCUUUGAACAAAACAUAAAUCAAUAAUGAGGUCCACAUAAAAAUUGACAGCUGUACAUAUACCAUAAAUUAAUAUUUCUUUCCAGCAAAUUAUAUAGUCUACAGAAUUGUUCCAAAAAAAAAGAAGUAAAAUUGCAAUAUUUGAUCCAUGAUACAUGUAUUACAACCAAUAAAA